rnacentral:lncRNA from 1 species
ACAUAGGCAUCUGAAUCUUAAGUAGGAAAUUACUUCAUCUCAGAUGAUGUGGGUAAGCUACACAAAUUUAUUUCAAUUUCUAGGUAAAAUGAAAUGAGCGGAGACGAGUUUGAGUUUAUCAACACCCCCCGGUAGUCGGUUCUCUCGAAAAAAGUUGGGUAAAAACUGAGUUUGUAGAAAGACCCCGUUGAUCUUCGGGCUGGCCCUUGCCUAUGGAAAGAAUGGUGUCUCAGAAAGUUGUUGAAUGCCUCAACUUCGGAUGAUGAAUAGCUAGGAUUAGGAUCAAAACACCAUUUAAGGCACAUUUUUACCUAAUUAACUGAAGCAGAUGCAGGAUCCGAAGUCUUCGACUCAGGCUCAGACGAACCGAGAGUCCUGUCUAUCCUUAGUCCCAAUGAAAGAAUUAUACUUUUUAGCUAUACCUCUGCCCAUAAAAACAGAACUUUUGGAUCUCCAAAUACACCACCCACUAUCGGAUGGACUUAUUGCUCAUUAUCGUGGUCAGAAGAUCAACAUUUAGAGU